rnacentral:rRNA from 1 species
UACGAAGGGGGCUAGCGUUGCUCGGAAUGACUGGGCGUAAAGGGCGCGUAGGCGGUUUGCACAGUCAGGCGUGAAAUUCCUGGGCUUAACCUGGGGGCUGCGCUUGAUACGUGUGGACUGGAGUGCGGAAGAGGGUCGCGGAAUUCCCAGUGUAGAGGUGAGAUUCGUAGAUAUUGGGAAGAACACCGGUGGCGAAGGCGGUGACCUGGUCCGUGACUGACGCUGAGGCGCGAAAGCGUGGGGAG